ACUGCAUGGACUACCAGGGCAUCUAAUCCUGUUCGCUACCCAUGCUUUCGUCCAUGAGCGUCAGUAAUGGCCCAGCAGAGCGCCUUCGCCACUGGUGUUCUUCCCGAUAUCUACGCAUCUCACCGCUACACCGGGAAUUCCCUCUGCCCCUACCAUACUCAAGCCUUUCAGUUUCCACUGCCAUGAUGGAGUUAAGCUCCACGCUUUAACAGCAGACUUGAAAAGCCGCCUGCGGACGCUUCACGCCCAAUAAUUCCGGAUAACGCUUGCCACUCCCGUAUUACCGCGGCUGCUGGCACGGAAUUAGCCGUGGCUUAUUCCUCAAGUACCGUCAUAUCUUCUUCCUUGAGAAAAGAGGUUU
rnacentral:rRNA from 1 species